rnacentral:rRNA from 2 species
CACAUGAACAUCGACGUUUCGAACGCACAUUGCGGUCCAUGGAUUCCGUUCCCGGGCCACGUCUGGCUGAGGGUCGGCUACGUAUACUGAAGCGCGCAGGCGUUGUGCCUGCCGCCGCUUCGGAGACUUGGGAGCGUCGUGGCGAAGGCGUGCCUUUGCCGCGUCUCCUGAAAUGCGCGAUGCGCGCCGCGCCCGUCGCCCGGUCGGUUCGCAUACCGGUACUGUGUCUCGGUAGCGUGCACAGCCGACUGGGCGUACGUGGUGCCAUCUCGUACAACGACCUCAGAGCAGGCGAGACUACCCGCUGAAUUUAAGCAUAUCAAUAAGCGGAGGAA